UUGAUGGUUUCACUGAUGAGGACGCACAAAAGGCCCAUCUCCUUUCUGGCCUCCUGGCUCCAUUUAAAAACCCCUGGACAUACGUGACCUCAUUUCAUCUCCCAUUUCAGUCAGUGUCAAAGGGUAAGACUACAAAUUUUUAGUCUUUCUUCUAACUGUGACAGUAAAAAAUGCUCCGUUAUUACUUGUAUCCUAAUGGCAGAGGCUUACGUGGCACGAAGGACCUGGUUUGUUUCUAGAGACUUGAGACAGAAAUCUCUAACAAGAAGUCUAUAAAAUUCCCUUUUGAAAAUGCCGGCAAGCAACACGGAGAUGUGUAUCAGUAAAGAAACAAUGGCCUGAAAUCUGCAACAGUGUGUGGUAUCACCAAGGAAAACAAUAAUUUAAGCAUCAGAGUAAUUUGCUGUUUGCAUUUCAGUUUACUGCUGGCAAUGUGCCCUACUGUUGGGUUUGCUGUAGCCUCAAAAAGUUUACUGUUCCACUGUGAUUGUUCCAAGUCACUCCCAAUUAUUGGCGGUUUCCUUUCCUAGGCUUCAUCAUCAUCAUCAUCGUCAUCAUCGUCAUCGUCACCAUCGUCAUCGUCAUCCUCCGAUGAAAUCAGCUACAAAUGUUUUUAAUUAUUGGAAUCAUCAGUAUUACUACCGUUUAUGGAGGAACUGCUAUGAAGCCUGUUCUCUGCUAAAAUGUUUGCUAACAUUUUAUAUUUACAACUCUUUAAGGUAAAUUCUCGGGUCACCGAAUGUAGAAAUGCAAAGGUCGUAGAAAUCGUCCCCCUUACGGGGGAGGCGGAGUCUUAUUCCUAUUUGCGUGCUGAGCAAUGGAAGGAUGGAAGCAUGUUCCCCUCACCAAACGCCCUCACCUGCCCCUCGUCCUUUUAGGUAUUGUUCCUCUUCUUCCAUUGCCCCCAAGAUACUGUGUGAUAUCUUUGCAGAGAAAAAAGUCAGCUCUCUCGGGGUUGUACCACACAGAUGUGGUUCUCUGCUUUCUUUGUGGUAUCUGAAUGUUUCUUCCUGACGUCCAUGGCACAUGACUGGUAUUUGGCCAUCGGAAUCCUCAGUGGCCUGAUCAUGAUGGUCUCCAUGUUUGCAUCCUGGUGGCCAUCUGGAAGAUCCAGACUGCUCAUGGGAGGCGGAAAGCUUUGUCCACCUGCUCCUCUCACCUGGUAGUUGUCUCCAUCCUCUAUGGGACUCUUCUUUAUCUCUGUUCGGCCUGGCUCAAGUCCCUCCCUGGAUCUCAAUAAAGUGAUUUCUCUGUUGUA